rnacentral:lncRNA from 1 species
AAUUACUAAUUAACAUAACUUUCUAUCCCAUUAUUAUGGAAGUUCUCUUAUGACACGAAUGAUGUAUUUUUCCAUUAUAUAUUAUCAUCCUGGCAUCUAAUAGAGAUAGUUCCUGGAAUCUAAUAGAGAUCUAAAAUAAAUUCUAAAGAUGAUGCCAAAAUUUUGAGUUUGGAUGCUUGGGACAGUGGUGGUACCAUUUAUAGGCAUCAGAAGACCACUGUUGGGUGUGAGGUUAUGGGAGUCAAUGAACCAUGACUAUUUUUUUUUUAACUGAAAUUUUUAGUGAAGUGUAACCCCCCAAAUUAACAAGUCACAAAUAUCUGGCUUAAUUUUUAAGAGCUCACCAUGGAUUUGAAAUACCAUGGAGAUGGUAAGAGUUUCCAAUGAUAAGGAAGAAAUUCAACCAAAGGGAUACAUCUAGGAAUAUGAAAAUGGGACUUGAGGGUGGACAUAAAUGUAU